UACGUAGGGUGCGAGCGUUGUCCGGAAUUAUUGGGCGUAAAGGGCUCGUAGGCGGUUUGUUAAGUCGGAUGUGAAAUCCCUCGGCUCAACUGAGGAAGUGCAUCCGAAACUGGCAAGCUUGAGUACGAAAGAGGGUCGCGGAAUUCCCGGUGUAGAGGUGAAAUUCGUAGAUAUCGGGAGGAACACCGGUGGCGAAGGCGGCGACCUGGGUCGAUACUGACGCUGAGGUGCGAAAGCGUGGGGAGCAAACAGG
rnacentral:rRNA from 1 species